rnacentral:rRNA from 1 species
AGAGUUUGAUCCUGGCUCAGAAUCAACGCUGGCGGCGCGCUUAACACAUGCAAGUCGCACGAGAAAGUGGAGCAAUCCAUGAGUAAAGUGGCGUACGGGUGAGUAACACGUGGAUAAUCUACCCUUUAGUGGGGAAUAACCCUGGGAAACCGGGGCUAAUACCGCAUAAGCCUGGAAAGGGAAAGCAGCAAUGCGCUGAAGGAGGAGUCCGCGGCCGAUUAGCUAGUUGGUAGGGUAAUGGCCUACCAAGGCAAUGAUCGGUAGCCGGCCUGAGAGGGCACACGGCCACACUGGCACUGAAACACGGGCCAGACUCCUACGGGAGGCAGCAGUGGGGAAUCUUGCACAAUGGAGGAAACUCUGAUGCAGCGACGCCGCGUGAGCGAUGAAGCCCUUCGGGGUGUAAAGCUCUUUCGACGGGAACGAUAAUGACGGUACCCGGAGAAGAAGCUGCGGCUAACUACGUGCCAGCAGCCGCGGUAAUACGUAGGCAGCAAGCGUUGUUCGGAAUUACUGGGCGUAAAGAGUGUGUAGGCGGUUCUCUAAGUUCGGUGUGAAAUCUCCCGGCUUAACUGGGAGGGUGCGCCGGAAACUGGAGGGCUUGAGUAUGGGAGAGGAAGGCGGAAUUCCUGGUGUAGCGGUGAAAUGCGUAGAUAUCAGGAGGAACACCUGCGGUGUAGACAGCUUUCUGGACCAUCACUGACGCUGAGACACGAAAGCGUGGGUAGCAAACAGGAUUAGAUACCCCGGUAGUCC